GGGUGGUGUGGUGAGGGGGGAGCGUAGGGGUGACUAAGGAGAACUAGAAGCAAGUUUGUGUGCUGAUGAUCCAGUUGUUCAAAUGAUCAAGUUGAGUGAAUAUUGAGGAUGAAAGAAAGAGGAGGAAAAAUUAUAGAAAGGCUGUAUGGUGCACUGAUACCUCUGCUGAGGUGCUGGAAAACUCUCCAUCACCGAGCACACUGGUGUCUCCUCUGCACAGUGUUCUUUCAAACCACUGAAGAAAAUGCUUGUGCCCUUGAAGUGGAGUCGGGACGUCCCUGCUUCGGUUGCUUCUUCGUAUCUCAGCACAUCCUGUCUCUGCGCGUAGCUGCCAGCCCGGCUUUGCCAGGUCAUCCCAGGCCCCUCGGGCAAGCUCUCCGGGGCGGAGCGCACUUUCCGGAAUUCAGCAACAUUGUAAAGAAUGCAGCAAACAAUAAAUAUGAAGGAAUAGAAUGUUUUUCAUUUUAUUUCUUUUCUACA